rnacentral:rRNA from 1 species
UCAAGUGAAAUAAGGGCGUUCGGUGGAUGCCUUGGCUCUGAGAGGCGAUGAAGGACGUGGCACGCUGCGAUAAGCUUCGGGGAGGCGCGAGCACCCUUUGAUCCGAAGAUUUCCGAAUGGGGAAACCCACCUUCGAGACUGGAGAUUCGGUACCGUGGUGCAAAUCACGGUAUCUGGUUUCCAGUUUCAUCAAGAAGGUAUUCUAACCUGAAUACAUAGGGUUAGAAAGCAAACCCGGUGAAGUGAAACAUCUCAGUAACCGGAGGAAAGGACAUCAAACGAGACUCCGUUAGUAGUGGCGAGCGAACGCGGACUAGGCCAGUGCCUUGUCGACGGAAACCAGAAUGGUCCUGGAAAGGCCAGCAUUACGGGUGAUAGCCCCGUAUGGGUAAGAAUAGACAAGGACUCGAGUAGGGCGGGACACGUGAAAUCCUGUCUGAACAUGGGGGGACCACCCUCCAAGCCUAAGUACUCCUCAGAGACCGAUAGUGAACCAGUACCGUGAGGGAAAGGUGAAAAGCACCCCGACGAGGGGAGUGAAAUAGACCCUGAAACCGAGCGCCUACAAGCAGUCGGAGCCCUUCGGGGUGACGGCGUACCUUUUGUAUAAUGGGCCAACGACUUAGUGUGACGAGCGAGCUUAAGCCGAUAGGCGUAGGCGCAGCGAAAGCGAGUCUGAAUAGGGCAUCGAGUUCGUCGCAUUAGACCCGAAACGCGUUGAUCUACCUAUGGGCAGAGUGAAGGUACGGUAACACGUACUGGAGGCUCGAACUCUUGAAUGUUGAAAAAUUCUGAGAUGACCUGUUGGUAGGGGUGAAAGGCCAAUCAAAACGCGUGAUAGCUGGUUCUCCGCGAAAUCUAUUUAGGUAGAGCGUCGAAUGAUUACCGCCGGGGGUAGAGCACUGGAUGGGCUAGGGGGACUUACCGUCUUACCAAACCUAACCAAACUCCGAAUACCGGCGAGUACAGUUCGGCAGACACACUGUGGGUGCUAACGUCCAUGGUGAAAAGGGAAACAACCCUGACCGACAGCUAAGGUCCCCAAGUGGCGGCUAAGUGGGAAAGGAUGUGGGAUUGCUUAGACAACCAGGAAGUUGGCUUAGAAGCAGCCAUCUUUUAAAGAAAGCGUAACAGCUCACUGGUCAAGCGAUCCUGCGCCGAAAAUGUAACGGGGCUCAAGCCGCCCACCGAAGCUUCGGACUCCUCCGGGAGUGGUAGCGGAGCGUUCUGUAAGCCUGCGAAGGUGUACCGUGAGGUAUGCUGGAGGUAUCAGAAGCGAGAAUGUUGGCAUGAGUAGCGAUAAAGAGGGUGAGAGACCCUCUCGCCGAAAGACCAAGGGUUCCUGCGUAAAGCUAAUCUGCGCAGGGUUAGCCGGCCCCUAAGGCGAGGCCGAAAGGCGUAGUCGAUGGGAACCACGUUAAUAUUCGUGGGCCUGCGGGUAGUGACGGAUCUCGAAAGUCGUCGAAACUUAUCGGAUUGUUUCGGCGGCCUGGAGGUUCCAGGAAAUAGCUCCCGCGUAUAGACCGUACCCGAAACCGACACAGGUGGUCAGGUAGAGUAUACCUAGGCGCUUGAGAGAACUGUGCUGAAGGAACUCGGCAAAUUGCCCUCGUAACUUCGGGAGAAGAGGGCCUGUUCAGAACGCAAGUUUUGGACAGGGGCACAAAUCAGAGGGUGGCGACUGUUUAUCAAAAACACAGGGCACUGCGAAGCCGCAAGGCGACGUAUAGUGUCUGACUCCUGCCCAGUGCCUGAAGGUUAAGAGGAGAAGUGCAAGCUUUGAAUCGAAGCCCAGGUGAACGGCGGCCGUAACUAUAACGGUCCUAAGGUAGCGAAAUUCCUUGUCGGGUAAGUUCCGACCUGCACGAAUGGAGUAACGACUUCCCUACUGUCUCCAGCACAGACUCAGCGAAAUUGAAUUCUCCGUGAAGAUGCGGAGUUCCCGUGGCUAGACGGAAAGACCCUGUGAACCUUUACUGCAGCUUUGUAGUGGCGCUAACGAACACAUGUGUAGGAUAGGUGGGAGGCUAUGAAACCUGGGCGCCAGCCUGGGUGGAGCCAUCCUUGAAAUACCACCCUUGUUUUCGUUGGCGUCUAACCGCGAACCGUUAUCCGGUUCCGGGACCCUGCAUGGCGGGCAGUUUGACUGGGGCGGUCGCCUCCUAAAGUGUAACGGAGGCGCGCGAUGGUAGGCUCAAGGCGGUCGGAAAUCGCCUGACGAGUGCAAUGGCAUAAGCCUGCCUGACUGUGAGACUGACGAGUCGAACAGAGACGAAAGUCGGUCAUAGUGAUCCGGUGGUCCUGCGUGGAAGGGCCAUCGCUCAACGGAUAAAAGGUACUCCGGGGAUAACAGGCUGAUAACCCCCAAGAGUCCAUAUCGACGGGGUUGUUUGGCACCUCGAUGUCGGCUCAUCACAUCCUGGGGCUGGAGCAGGUCCCAAGGGUUUGGCUGUUCGCCAAUUAAAGUGGUACGUGAGCUGGGUUCAGAACGUCGUGAGACAGUUUGGUCCCUAUCUACCAUGGGUGUCGAGACUUGAGAGGAUUUGUCCCUAGUACGAGAGGACCGGGAUGAACAUACCUCUGGUGGACCUGUCGUGGCGCCAGCCGCGCAGCAGGGUAGCUAUGUAUGGUCGGGAUAACCGCUGAAGGCAUCUAAGCGGGAAACCCACCUCAAAACGAGGUCUCAUUGAGAGCCGUUGUAGACCACAACGUUGAUAGGCCGGAUGUGGAAGCGCCGUGAGGUGUGAAGCUGACCGGUACUAAUCGCUCGAUCGCGUGAUAUC